GUGCCAGCAGCCGCGGUAAUACGUAGAUGGCAAGCGUUAUCCGGAAUUAUUGGGCGUAAAGCGCGCGCAGGUGGUUUCUUAAGUCUGAUGUGAAAGCCCACGGCUCAACCGUGGAGGGUCAUUGGAAACUGGGAGACUUGAGUGCAGAAGAGGAAAGUGGAAUUCCAUGUGUAGCAGUGAAAUGCGUAGAGAUAUGGAGGAACACCAGUGGCGAAGGCGACUUUCUGGUCUGUAACUGACACUGAGGCGCGAAAGCGUGGGGAGCAAACAGG
rnacentral:rRNA from 1 species